rnacentral:misc_RNA from 1 species
CAGUAUAAUCGAGGUGCCAUGGCUGUCGCUGACCCUUCAAACGGUCGUGCACGCUCGAGCUCUCUCUUACACAUCCAUCUCACCCUUUGUGCAUCGCCGCGUGGGUCCCCCUCUGUAGGGGGGCUUGCGUUUUUCACAUGAAACUAUAUGCAGUAUAGAAUGUCUUUUAUUUUUGCGGUUAUACGCAAUCAAUA